ACUGGACAUGGUGGCACAUGCCUGUAAUCCCAGCUACUCAGAAGUAUGAGGCAGGAGGAUCACAAGUUCAAGGUCAACCUGGGCACAACAGUGAGACCCCUGUCUCAU
rnacentral:sRNA from 1 species